rnacentral:rRNA from 1 species
AUUGAACGCUGGCGGCAGGCCUAACACAUGCAAGUCGAGCGGAUGAAGGGAGCUUGCUCCUGGAUUCAGCGGCGGACGGGUGAGUAAUGCCUAGGAAUCUGCCUGGUAGUGGGGGAUAACGUCCGGAAACGGGCGCUAAUACCGCAUACGUCCUGAGGGAGAAAGUGGGGGAUCUUCGGACCUCACGCUAUCAGAUGAGCCUAGGUCGGAUUAGCUAGUUGGUGGGGUAAAGGCCUACCAAGGCGACGAUCCGUAACUGGUCUGAGAGGAUGAUCAGUCACACUGGAACUGAGACACGGCCCAGACUCCUACGGGAGGCAGCAGGGGGGAAUUUUGGACAAUGGGCGAAAGCCUGAUCCAGCCAUGCCGCGUGUGUGAAGAAGGUCUUCGGAUUGUAAAGCUCUUUAAGUUGGGAGGAAGGGGAGUAAGUUAAUACCUUGCUGUUUUGACGUUACCAACAGAAUAAGCACCGGCUAACUUCGUG